GCCAAAAUAACUCAGUUGAAAGAGCAUUAGACUGAAGAUCUAAAGGUUCUUGAUUCAAUCCCGGGUUUUGGCA
rnacentral:tRNA from 1 species